rnacentral:rRNA from 1 species
UACGUAGGGUGCGAGCGUUGUCCGGAAUUAUUGGGCGUAAAGAGCUCGUAGGCGGUCUGUCGCGUCUGCUGUGAAAACUCGGGGCUUAACCCCGGGCCCGCAGUGGGUACGGGCAGACUAGAGUGCGGUAGGGGAGACUGGAAUUCCUGGUGUAGCGGUGAAAUGCGCAGAUAUCAGGAGGAACACCGGUGGCGAAGGCGGGUCUCUGGGCCGUAACUGACGCUGAGGAGCGAAAGCGUGGGGAGCGAACAGG